GGGAAGAGCAAGGUAGAUCUCAAGCUGGAUUCACAAAGGCACAUGGGUAGCCGAGCACAGCCUGCUGCUGAUGCUGGGGACUGGCUGUGUACCAGGGAAAGAAGAGACCCGGGCCCAGGAGAGCAUCUCUGGCCAGCAGCCUGGCUUCUACAGUAUCUGUAAGUGUAGCCACCACCCCUCAUCAAAGAAGCCUCUCUUUACAGUGAAUGGAGAGCAGCACAGAAAACCACAACUGGACACAAUGCAGAGAUCAAUGGAUCAUGGU